GGCGAGUGAAGCGGCAACAGCUCAAAUUUGAAAUCUGGCCCUUUCGGGGUCCGAGUUGUAAUUUGUAGAGAGUGUUUCGGGUGAGACCACGGUCUAAGUCCAUUGGAACACGGUGUCAUAGAGGGUGAGAAUCCCGUAUGCGACCGUGGAUCGAACCCAUGUGAAGCCUCUUCGACGAGUCGAGUUGUUUGGGAAUGCAGCUCAAAAUGGGUGGUAAAUUUCAUCUAAAGCUAAAUACUGGCUGGAGACCGAUAGCGCACAAGUAGAGUGAUCGAAAGAUGAAAAGCACUUUGGAAAGAGAGUGAAACAGUACGUGAAAUUGUUGAAAGGGAAGCGCUUGCAACCAGACCUGCCCGUAGGCGAUCAGCCGCUGUUCUCAGUGGUGCACUCGCUCUGCGAUCAGGCCAGCAUCGGUUUCGGCGGUCGGAUAAAGGCCUUGGGAAUGUAGCUUCCUUUCGGGGGAGUCUUAUAGCCCUCGGUGCAAUGCGGCCGGCCGGGACCGAGGACCGCGCUUCGGCUAGGAUGCUGGCGUAAUGGUUGUAAGCGACCCGUCUUGAAACACGGACCAAGGAGUCUAACAUCUAUGCGAGUGUUUGGGUGUCAAACCCAUGCGCGGAAUGAAAGUGAACGGAGGUGAGAACCCUUAAGGGCGCAUCAUCGACCGAUCCAGAUGUCUUCGGAUGGAUUUGAGUAUGAGCAUAGCUGUUGGGACCCGAAAGAUGGUGAACUAUGCCUGAAUAGGGUGAAGCCAGAGGAAACUCUGGUGGAGGCUCGCAGCGGUUCUGACGUGCAAAUCGAUCGUCAAAUUUGG
rnacentral:rRNA from 1 species